UCCUGUUGCGGACUGUCAGUAUACUGCACUGGAGGGUGGAGCACUGUUGUUUGUCAGUCCCACGUGUCACUUACUGCUUAUUUGGAUGCAUUGCUGACAUGGUGAAUCCCUUUGCCCAGAACUGGACCAGAGCCAGCUCCUAUGGAGAGAAGCACAGAACCUGAUUAACAAUACACACAACAGUACACAACUAUUUAGCCCAGGAAGUGAGAAUACCUUUUCAAAAUGAAACUACAGGAAGAAUUUAGGUAGGCUGAAUGCAAUUACUCAAGUUGGAAUUAGGCCAGGACACUGCAGGUAUAGUAGAUCCGUUCUCUGGGAAUCUUGUGCUGUGGUAUCAGAAGGAAAGGGCAUGUAAAUAAUUUCAUGUACUUUGUCUCCUAAAAACACUGUUCUCCUUGUAUUAUGGUUUGUCUCAGAAAACACACUGGGAAAAUAAAACCCUAUGAUGUUA